UCUCUAUUUCCAAUUGCCUGCGUCCUGCCGCCCGGCCCUGAAGGGCUGGGGGAAGGGCUGUCCUGGGUGUGGGGGUGGAGCUGCCUGUGUGCUAAGAGAAGGGGAGCCCACCCCAAGCAUUCCUCUGCCUGUUUCUUUGAGUCCGCCCGGUAGGGAUCUUUUUGAUGACCGAGAAACCUUCAGAGUCAACUUACUGAUGCUGGGCCUUGGCUCAGAGUGAGCACCGUGGACAGAGCUCAGAUGAAAACCCAGGAAGUGAAAUUCAUCUUGGUCCGGGGUCCCCCAGAAACUCCACCAGGGCCUUCAACACUGCGUAGACUCCGAGAGCCAGGGCAAGCCUGAGACCCCAGGCAGAAUGCUGUGAGAGGAUGUCUCUACCCCAGGG